UUAUCAGCCUCAGUGGCAGAGCACUGGUCUUGUAAACCAGUAGUCGUGAGUUCAAUCCUCACAGCAGGCAGA